UCCAAAAGAAAUACCUAUUCUACAAUUAGGAAACAAAAAUGAACAAAUUAGGAAAGGGCCGGGUCUUCUUCUCCAUGAAGCCCUAGCUACAGCUCUGCUUCACCAUUGCAACCUUCAUCAUCCAUAUCCAUUGCCAUUAAGCGGACUCGACUAAAUUGGUACAUCAAGCUAUGGGUGUAUUUCAUCUCAAAUGUUAACAAGUCCCACUAACAUCAUGAAAUCAGCCCAAACGAAGACUUCUCCAACUCAAUGACAUUUAGUUAAUUAUUCAGCUGUGAUAGGUUGAGCUCAACAAGGAGCUAAUACCACUGACUACAACUUUAGGACAAAGCUACAAUGAUCUUCUUCAGCAAGCAGAUCCACUUGGACCUUCACCUUUGCACAACUUGGACGCGUUUUAUUUAUUGUUGCCAGGUCUAAUUGAAGAGGUUUACCAACCACGGACGCAAGAGAGAACAAUACUUCCUUCACAAAUAAAGUUGGCAACAAAUCAGGGAAGGAGAUCCAAGUCGUAGCCUUCUUCGUCUCUUCACUAGCUUUGAAGUUUGCAUCAUAUAUAAAUGCCCUCAUUUGAUAUGCAAAUCCAUCCUUUGCAAUUAUGUAAUAAGAAGUUUUAGACAGUAUCUUUAUGUAAUCCUCCAUAUGAUCAAAUCUCAUUAAAAUAUGUCUAUUACGAAGAUAUCCAAUCUGACACCCCCCAAUUAUCUAUCCCACACUGUUUUGGAAUCAAAGAUCUUAAUUCAUAAAUAUCAGGGGCUCCAUAGGAGAAUUUGCCCACCA